GUUGGUGUUCUCCAAACCCAACGAUGUAUCCUGAGGGACUCCACUCCGGCACACUUUCAUCUCGCCUCUCAUUCCUGGAACUUUAAUCAGUGAAGAACCUCGGGUGGAGACAAACUUGUCCUCUAACCUUAAUUAAGAAGCACUCCCACUGACCUGGCCCUCGUUGUGUGUGUGUGCCCUGUCUGAGGCUUCACAAAGUGCUUCGAAACUCGUCCAGAACCAGAGGCAGUGAACACAGACUCGAUGAACCCUUGUCGGCCAUGCAGAGGCAAACGACCGAGCUCAUUGUGACCCUCGUGUUUGUGCCUCUCUGUGUGCUGGCCUGGCAUUCUGUGUGGACGUGGCGGUGUUGUCUA